GGGUGACUAGUGACAGUGAGAGAGGGGGUGACUAGUGACAUAGUGAGAGAGGGGGUGACUAGUGACAGAGUGAGGGACGGGGUGACACAGUGACAGAGUUAGGGAGGGAGUGACUAGUGACAGAGAGAGGGAUGGGGUGACUAGUGACAGUCACCCCCUCUCUCACUAGUCACCCCCUCUCUCACUCUGUCACUAGUCACACCCUCUCUCACUCUGUCAUUAGUCACCCCCUCUCUCACUCUGUCACCAGUCAUCCCUUCCUUCCCUCACUCUGCCACUAGUCAUCCCUUCCCUCACUCUGUCACCAGUCACCCCUUCCUUCCUUCACAAUGACAG